UCCACUCACCUUUUUCCUCUCUCUCUCUCUCUCUCUCUCUCUCUCUCUCUCUUACUUCUGUUAUUUUUUUUCGGAGCCUAAGAGCUCAUGAUAGUGACCCUUUAAUCUUUCACAAAUGAUGAGGUUCAUUUCUAUACUUCAAUUUAAAAUUUUGUUUCCUAUUUCAUUCAUUUAUCAAUUAUUCUAUAAAUAAAAAUCGCUUCUGAAAAUUGAAGAUAGAAAAAACUUCAAUACUACUGUUUCAACUGAAAUAUAUGCAUGUUAAAGCCUGAUUUUUCAUUAACCUUAAGUACUCUCUUGCACGUAUGGAUAGGAUAAUUGUUAGAGACUAAAAUAUGUGUAUAUAUAUAUAAUACAAUCUAUUUUAGAUUUUUUUUUUGCUAUUACUUAUGUUUGUUUUAUUGUAUAUGUUCGGGAUUUAUGGCUAUCUCUUUCAACAAUAUUGUUUCUAAAAGAAUGCAAUGUACUUUAUUAUUACAUUCAAUCACUUAUUGGUAUCUAUUUUAGAUUUUAUAUAGAAAAUAAAUUUUUUUAUACUUGGAAUAAAUUUCCUUGAAUACAUAUUAUUUUAGAAUAUAUAUCUUGUUUUGAGAUUCCGGCCUUAAUUAUAGGCUUAAAUUUCUUGGAAUAACCUUGUUAGUUUUUCUUUCUUUUAUUGAGAAUAUUGAAAUCAGCUAAAAUAUCUAAUCCUAACUAAUAAUAAUAAUAAUAAAACAAUAGAGAGCAAACAUAUAUUUUCAAUGCAAGCAUAUGGCAAAUGAAUCUUUGGCUUGCUGCGAAUAAAGUUGGAGUUUUAGAUUUUAAUGAAUUAAAUUUAGGUCUUAUUAUAUGUAAAUAUUAUAUGUGAAUUCUCUCUUAAAUUAUUUUAGAAUGACUUCUUCUAAUUUUGGUGUAGAUACUUGAAAGCCAUAAUAGUUUAUCAUUAUAUUUUUCAUCUUUUGUAGGUAAUGCAUUAGGCCACCUGCAUUCCCUUUAACGAAAUCUCAUGGAAGAAGACACUCGAUUAAUCACUUUUAUGCGGUCAUUUUCAACCAACAUUAGUAACGAUGGUCCCAGCUUGGACUUUUCCAAGGGCUGAAGCGUCACUCGCUCGAUUUUGUUGGAGAUUCGCAAGGGCUCAGCGUCACUCGGUCGAUUUUGUUGGAGUUUUGCAAGGGCUCGGCGUCACUCGGUCGAUUUUGUUAGACUUUUGCAAGGGCUCUAAUGUCGAGCGAGAGUGUAUUAUGGUUCGCGAGAUAUAUGAACAUUUUAUUUGAUCUUUCACACGAUAUACACAGAUUGAAAAACUUUUUUUUUUCUUUAAAAUUUUCUACAACGAACCAACUUUCAAAGCCUAAGUCUGAACCAUAAUGGAUUUUGGAUAAUUAUUUCUUAAAUGAAUUUAUGAAUUUCUCCCUUCUUACCCAAAGUAAAAAAAAAAACACUAGCAUGAUUCUUUUUCUUUUAUUUUUUAAAAAGUAAAAUUUUACAUGUGUUAUAUAGGGUAUUUCUCGGAUACUUUACCGACAUGGUAUCGUUGCCAUUGGACUACCUCGCUAGUCACGAUCAACCAAGGAUUUAAAUAGCGGUCCAAUCUACUAUAGCGGCCGCUAUAUAGCGGUAGUGGUGCCGUUCGAAACCGCUACUUCCGAAACCGCUAUUAUGUUUUACAAUAAAGUUGUGCAAAUUUUAAAAAAAAUUCACGACCGCGAUACCUACAGUGACCGUAAUAGCAUCCGUUUUAUCCGCAACCAAAAUAAAC
rnacentral:lncRNA from 1 species